AGAAUCAACGCUGGCGGCGUGCCUAACACAUGCAAGUCGAACGAGAAAGUGGAGCAAUCCACGAGUAAAGUGGCGCACGGGUGAGUAACACGUGACUACCUACCCUUGAGUGGGGGAUAACCUAGGGAAACCUGGGCUAAUACCGCAUAACACCUACGGGUCAAAGGAGCAAUUCGCUUAAGGAGGGGGUCGCGGCCGAUUAGUUAGUUGGCGGGGUAAUGGCCCACCAAGACGAUGAUCGGUAUCCGGCCUGAGAGGGCGCACGGACACACUGGAACUGAAACACGGUCCAGACUCCUACGGGAGGCAGCAGUGGGGAAUUUUGCGCAAUGGGGGAAACCCUGACGCAGCAACGCCGCGUGGAGGAUGAAGCCCCUUGGGGUGUAAACUCCUUUCGAUCGGGAAGAUAAUGACGGUACCGAUAUAAGAAGCCCCGGCUAACUUCGCGCCAGCAGCCGC
rnacentral:rRNA from 1 species